AGUUGCACCAUGUAUCAUGAGGUAGAAACCACCUUUUGGCCGCACCUUGCAUAAUUUCAUAUCUUUCAAAAACUUUAAGUUAAUGGUGCGGUGAGGGAGUGGUUCCAAGGUGGCUAACUCAGCGUGUAGAUUCAACGCUCUAGCAAUGGAGGUAAUCAAACCACCAGGAGUGGUUCCAAGGUGGCUAACUCAGCGUGUAGAUUCAACGCUCUAGCAAUGGAGGUAAUCAAACCACCGAAAGAGAUGGUUCCUCCUUUUUUAAGGAUGGCAGACAUAUGGGCCAACAUGAAAGGGACAUGAUUAAUCCUGCGAUUAGUGAGGUAACCCUGUAAAAACAGUAAUUCUCGGGCAUUUACUUUGUUAGAAUUUUCCCGGCCAAAUAUAGUACAUGCCAAGAGGUAUCGAAAGAUACGUAUGAUCGGGUUAUGGAUAUUAGAAGCUAAGAUUCCUUCAAAGAAAGUGACAUUCACAUUAGAUAAUAUAUUCCAAAAAGUAAAUGCCUCGAGUGCCCAUUCAGUAUCCAAGGGCGUCUCACAAAUAGCACCAUCACCAUAAGGCAUUCCGAGCAAACCCACUAAAGCAUCGGUGGUGUACUCGUAUUCUACAUUAAACAUUCUAAAAUAGACAGUACCUACCGUGCUAGCAGUGUCGGGGUAAACAUUGUAAAUUAGGGAACUAAAAAAUUCUCUAGUGAGCCUAUUGUAAGUGGGUGCUUUACUAGCAAAAAGAUCGUGUAGUCCUAAAUUAUCUAGCAUGUGGAAAACACUAUGGUAUGUGCCUAGAGUGUACAAACAAUCUUCGUCAACAUACCUAGUAGCGAGGAUCUCCCGAGUUUGCAAUCUUUGCAAAAUCUUGUUUUGUCGCUCACCGGGCUUUCCUCCAGGAAGAAUGAUGUCGUUAAACUCCAUUCCAGUCAUUAAUGGUGAUUAUAGAGAAAAAUGAGAAUUUAUAGAAAAGAAAUGAAAAAAUGGAGUUUAAUGGAUUUUUGGUGGAGAAAUGGAGAAGUGAAGUUGGGAAAAUUGUAAUGGCUUGUAGUGAAAAUGAGAAGCUUGAGAAUUUUUUAUGAACUUUGGUGGAGUUGGGAGAAGAAGAAAAUGGGUUUGGAGAGGUUGAAGAAGGUAUAAAUGGUGAAAAAAGGGAAUCUUCCCGUUACGUCAUGGCGCCCGCCAUGAAGCCUAUGACGCCUGCCAUGUCUUCGGAUUUGGUNAUCAAUGCUCAGGGUAUAGUGGAGUCUCCUCGACUUCGUAGCCUCGAAGCUCUGUGAUCUGGCGUCGGAGAUCGGCGAUCUCAUCAUGCAGCAUAUCAGUCUCGGUGUCGUGUGAGGCAACUGAUACUUCGAUCUGCAAGGCAACGUCAGCAAGCUCCUGACGAAGCUCGACUAUCUCCAUGUGAAGCUUAACCAAUUCGGACUGCAUGAUCGGAGUCUGGAGAUUCGGAUUAUUGGUACAGACUUUGAUUCUGAUUGGUGCAAUCUUUGGCGCGUCUACUAUCUCUCCCUUCCCUUCUAUGGCGUAGGCCCAGUUGGCCUGAUCAAUAACACAAGUCACCUGAGGGUCAGGUAAAGUGAAGUAGUGAAUGGUCUCACCCUCAAUUAACAGCCUGUAUUGAUUCGGUUGGAAAGAAGAUCUCCUCAU
rnacentral:lncRNA from 1 species